rnacentral:rRNA from 1 species
UACGUAGGGGGCAAGCGUUGUCCGGAAUCAUUGGGCGUAAAGCGCGCGUAGGCGGCCCGGUAAGUCCGCUGUGAAAGUCGGGGGCUCAACCCUCGGAUGCCGGUGGAUACUGUCGGGCUUGAGUGCGGAAGAGGCGAGUGGAAUUCCUGGUGUAGCGGUGAAAUGCGCAGAUAUCAGGAGGAACACCGAUUGCGAAGGCAGCUCACUAAGCCAAUAUUGACGCUGAGGCACGAAAGCGUGGGUAGCAAACAGG